AGAGUUUGAUCAUGGCUCAGGAUGAACGCUGGCGGUAUGCCUAACACAUGCAAGUCGUACGGGAGUUUUUAACUCUAGUGGCGGACGGGUGAGUAACACGUGAGAAUUUGCCUUUAGGAGGGGGACAACAGUUGGAAACGACUGCUAAUACCCCAUAUGCUUUCGAGUGAAAUGGAUUUAUAUUUAUCCGCCUAGAGAGAAGCUCGCGGCUGAUUAGCUUGUUGGUAAGGUAAGAGCUUACCAAGGCGACGAUCAGUAUCUGGUUUGAGAGGACGAUCAGACACACUGGAACUGAGACACGGUCCAGACUCCUACGGGAGGCAGCAGUGGGGAAUUUUCCGCAAUGGGCGAAAGCCUGACGGAGCAAUACCGCGUGAGGGAAGACUGCCUAUGGGUUGUAAACCUCUUUUUUCAGGGAGGAAUCAAUGACGUGUACCUGAAGAAUAAGCAUCGGCUAACUCCGUGCCAGCAGCCGCGGUAAGACGGAGGAUGCAAGUGUUAUCCGGAAUCACUGGGCGUAAAGCGUCUGUAGGUGGUUUAAUAAGUCAACUGUUAAAUCUUGAGGCUCAACUUCAAAAUCGCAGUCGAAACUAUUAGACUAGAGUAUAGUAGAGGUAAAGGGAAUUUCCAGUGGAGCGGUGAAAUGCGUAGAUAUUGGAAAGAACACCGAUGGCGAAAGC
rnacentral:rRNA from 1 species